GCCAGGUGUGGUGGCGCACACCUGUAGUCCCAAUUACUCAGGAGGCUGAGGCAGGAGAAUUGCUUGAACCCGGGAGGCGGAGGUUGCAGUGAGCCGAGGUCAUGUCACUGCACUCCAGCCUGGGCGAUAGAGCAAGACUCUGUCUCAA
rnacentral:sRNA from 1 species